rnacentral:lncRNA from 1 species
UUUUUUUUUUCUUUUUCUUUAUAGGGAAACUCGAAAUCAAAGUUAAACAAUUUUCCAACUAAAUAUUCUGCAAGCCGAAAAUCAUUUCUCAUAAAAGAGCGCAAUAUCGAAAAUGAGUCAAUUAAUUUUGAAAAAAUGCACAUUAAAAAUGUGUACUUUAGAUAGAGGAAAAACAAAAAAAACAGCAAAAAUAAAAAAAUAUAUCAACCAUUUAAAAAUUAGAUUAGACCGGAACCAUUUUAUUUUAUGGGCAUAAAGUUAACAAGUAUGCUUUCAAUUAUUUUCGUCCCGAUCGAAGCUCCCCUAGCGGCAAAGAAGCGAAGGCGGUCGGCAGCAGUCACGUGACGGGAGCGGUGGGCUAUGGCGAUUAGAGCUCGUUAGAUUUGGUGCCACGUCCGUGCCAUGUCAGUAAGCAAAGCAACACAUACUUCUGCAUAUUGUAACAAUCGAAUCGAUUCGGCUUCAGCAGAACCUUAGCAGCCGUAAUAAAGACAAAUGCCGAUAAUUAUAUCGCUUACUCACCGUAAUUAACUCAUUUUUGUACCAGUCACAUCAGCAGAUAAGAAUAAAGUUGCCGUAACCAGAUGGAAUUCCAAAAGGAGAAACAAUCCGAAAAGAAAUUUUUAACUCCACUUACGGAAAUUAAAUUCGGUCAUAGUGGCAGUAAUUCGGAUCUUCGUCAGCAAUGUUUAGUUAAAAUCGUCUCUGAUUGUUUUUCCUCCCCGAUAAAAGUUUCAUGGUGUUUGUGUGUGUGGACUGCAGAGGGUUUUCCAUUUGGCUCCGAUCCCAAUCCAUUCUGAGGUGAGUCGUUCGAGUUCUGCCAGUUUCUACCAACCCCUGGGUGGUCAGUUCCGUAGCCAGACCCGAAAUUAGAGUCAUCUAGAGACGUGAAAUUGAAUUAUCUCAACAUCCGACAAAAAUCUCCAAACCGGACGAAGGGAGGAAAAGGAGAAUGGGGGAAGGAAGAAGAAGAAAAGAGAAAAUCGAUCAGACGUGAUUCCAACCCUGGUUUUAAUUAGGGUUAGGGGAGUUUAGAUAAUAAUGAUGGUCUGCCUGACAAAUGGCCGGUGAUGUUCCAACGAUGCUAGGUAAGAUAACUUAGCUUGCUCCGCACCGCUUUGGGUCUGGGGGUUAAAAUACUAAAGUGGCGGGCAGUCAGGUGAGCCUGCAGCAAUACUUGGAUUAGAAAACAAGAUAGAUGAUUGUGUGUACUUUUGAUGGUCGUUUUCGUGAACAAACCUCUUCUCUUUCUCUCUUCCCUUCACAAAUAAUUAAUCUGCUUCUUCUCAAACCGACAUCCUGCUGAUAUCAGCACAAACGAUUUCCACUCAUUGACGAUUCUUACUAAGCUUUUUUUCCCGUUAUGUUACAUAGUUUAAUUUACUCUUAGGUUUUAACGUGAUUCGCCAUUUUACCAAUCAAACAUUUUUUCUCUCUUCGCUACGCAUUUUUGAUCUCCUGGCGCGCGCGUCUCGCUGGCCUCUCGAAAGCGUUUAAAUCUGAAAAGACUUUUUUACCUUUACAUUUUUUUUCUUUUUCUGUUUAUUUAGCUUAAACGCACCUUUCAAAUUUUAAGCGUUUAAUUUAAAUAGCGGGACGAUGCUGCCAAUCUUCCUGAAUAGCGCCUGAAGUUGGCCUUGGCUGUCAAGCGAGAGAGUAUCUCUCGCCAGCAAAAAUCGGCGAGUAAAAAGCGCGAAUAUUUUUGAUUCAUUGUUAUCGAUUCGACGCGAAUUUCCGCAUGUGAUAUAUAUAUAUUCAAAAUAAUGUCGGAAAAUACUGAAAUACAUUAAAAUGAUUUAAAAUAAACGAUCCCUAUUAAGUUAGUCGUACUUUUUAUUGGGGAAACUAAACCAAUUUUUCCCUCGAUCAUCCCCGAUCCUUACAUCCAAAUCUGGGAAUUUACCCGCGGGCUAAUUACCGUAUCGUACUACUACUACUACUACACAAGUAAAUUUCCGUAUAUACUUAGUUCAAUUUUUCCAAAUCGUUCCGGUCACAUAUAUAAAUAUAUAUAUAUAUAUAUAUAUAAAAGGAAGAAGAAGAAGCC